UACGUAGGCAGCGAGCGUUGUUCGGAGUUACUGGGCGUAAAGCGUGCGUAGGCGGUGUCUUAAGUUUGUUGUGAAAUCUCCCGGCUUAACCGGGAGGGUGCGGCGAAUACUGAGAUGCUGGAGUGCGGGAGAGGUAAGCGGAAUUCCAGGUGUAGCGGUGAAAUGCGUAGAGAUCUGGAGGAACACCGGUGGCGAAGGCGGCCCCCUGGUUCGAUACUGACGCUGAGGUGCGAAAGCGUGGGGAGCGAACAGG
rnacentral:rRNA from 1 species